GCAAGUCGCACGGGAUCAUUUUGGUAGUAAUACUUGAAUGGUCUAGUGCCGCACGGGUGAGUAACACGUGAAUUACAUGCCCUUCAGUGGGGAAUAGCCCAGGGAAACUUGGAUUAAUACCCCAUGGUAUCGCAAGAUUAAAGGUGGCCGCAAGGCUGUCGCUGAAGGAUUGGUUCGCGCCCUAUCAGCUUGUUGGUGAGGUAACGGCUCACCAAGGCUACGACGGGUACCUGGUUUGAGAGGACGAUCAGGCACACUGGAACUGAGACACGGUCCAGACACCUACGGGUGGCAGCAGUCGAGAAUAAUUCACAAUGGGGGCAACCCUGAUGGUGCAACGCCGCGUGGAGGAUGACGGUCUUCGGAUUGUAAACUCCUGUCAUCCGGGAGUAAGACCUGGCAGUUAACAGCUGACAGGGUUGAUAGUACCGGAAGAGGAAGGGACGGCUAACUUCGUGCCAGCAGCCGCGGUAAUACGAAGGUCCCGAGCGUUGUUCGGAAUCACUGGGCGUAAAGGGAGCGUAGGCGGCGUGGUAAGUCAGAUGUGAAAUCCCGGGGCUCAACCCCGGAACUGCAUCCGAUACUGCCGUGCUAGAGUGAUGGAGAGGUAGCUGGAAUUCUUGGUGUAGCAGUGAAAUGCGUAGAUAUCAAGAGGAACACUCGUGGCGAAAGCGAGCUACUGGACAUUUACUGACGCUGAGGCUCGAAGGCCAGGGUAGCGAAAGGGAUUAGAUACCCCUGUAGUCCUGGCAGUAAACGGUGCACGCUUGGUGUGAGGGGAAUCGACCCCCCUUGUGCCGGAGCUAACGCGUUAAGCGUGCCGCCUGGGAAGUACGGUCGCAAGACUAAAACUCAAAGAAAUUGACGGGGACCCGCACAAGCGGUGGAGUAUGUGGCUUAAUUCGAUGCAACGCGAAAGACCUUACCAAGGCUUGACAUGGAUUUCUAAGCACGUGAAAGCGUGU
rnacentral:rRNA from 1 species